rnacentral:sRNA from 1 species
CCUAGCUAGGAGCCAGCCUUGGGAACUCUCAAAUGGGUAAUUCUCGGUCCUUGUUAUCAGCUAGCUCACAACAUGCUGACCUCAGGCUUUCUCUUACUCUAGCAGAAACAGGUAUGUUUUACUUUGUGUCCCACUAUGGGUAGACUGCUGAAUACAUCAGGUAUGUUCAAGCAUUACCACAUCUCUAUUUGUUUCCGUAUCUCAGUAACAGCAGAGAUGAGCUGAGAAUGAAUCAGAACGUGCCCUGUAGUGACACUGAUACGUUUCCUGAGGUACAUCACGAUAGUCUAGGGGACAAAGGGCGCAGGGAAGCCCAGUGUACUCUUUAUGUCUACACUUGAUCUUAGCCAGAAGGCUGAGAAGUGAUACUUUUUAUGUCUUACCUCUGUUUCUGGUGACUACAGAUAAGAGAUUCAUCCCUUGAUUCACUCAUUCAGCAAAUAUGACUGAGCACCAUCUCUAAGCAGGACAUUUGCCUUGUCCUCAGGGAGCAUAGUUGGCAAGGAAUCUAGACAGCAGCCCUUCUUGAGCUUGACAUUGAUCUUCUCAUGAGGAGGACUGGGCUCCAGAUCUUCCUGGGACCAGGUCUUCAGGACAGUGUGAGCUAGGUUAUCAGCUCAGAUUCAGUGAGUGCUUUGUGGAAGGUUGGCAGAGGGUCACGAGGGUCCUCUGCAUUUGUUCUCCAAUAUCCAGUAUCAACACUGGUUAGCAAAGAGGAAGGACGGACUAUUGGUGCCACUGGUCCCAUGAUUAGAAAUAGCUACUUCCUCAGCCGAGCCCAGAGCCUGUGUGGCCCCGAGCACAGUGCUGUUCCUGACUCCCUGCGCUGGCUCUGCCACCCGCUGGGCCAGAAGUUUUUCAUGGAGCGGAGCUGGUCUGUGAAGUCAGCUGCCAAGGAGAGUCUAUACUGUGCCCAGAGGAACCCAGCUGACCCCAUUGCGCAGGUCCACCAGGCCUUCUGCAAGAACCUGCUGGAGCGAGCUAUAGAGUCCUUGGUGAAACCUCAGGCCAAGAAGAAGGCUGGAGACCAGGAAGAAGAGAGCUGUGAAUUUUCCAGUGCUCUGGAGUACUUGAAAUUACUUCAUUCUUUUGUGGACUCUGUGGGGGUUAUGAGCCCCCCACCCUCCAGCAGCUCCGUGCUCAAGUCCGCCCUGGGUCCAGACAUCAUCUGUCGGUGGUGGACGUCUGCAAUCACUGUGGCCAUCAGCUGGCUCCAGGGAGACGAUGCAGCUGUGCGCUCUCAUUUUACCAAAGUGGAACGCAUCCCCAAGGCCCUGGAAGUGACAGACCACCUCCAGCCCCAUCAUCAACCCUGGCAACUUUGUCCUGUAACUAAAAUAGCUUUUAGCACAUGGCAUAACCAGAGAGCUUUUGACAUUCCUCUUUGGAGAUUCAUGUCUGCGUCUUGGGGGCAUUCGGCACUAGUGAUGGGCAGCCCUGCCUGCUGACUCCCCGGCUGUUUCUAAUUGGAUCUGAGUAUUCUAAGAGAAACUGUAAAAUGCUCCAAGACAGAAAGGCCCCACGAGGUCCUAUCCUUAGAGCCAAGGCUGUAGCGUUUCCUAUCAAGCAGACCCUUAACCAGCGCACAGGAAGGAGCUGAGAAGAGUAAGGAAACUGAGGCACACGUUGGAAUGACUAUCUUGGGUGGCUUCUUAGCAGCAGACGUGAUGGUGAAGCCUGUGUCUCUGACUUCCAGCAUUGAAUGAAGGAGCCCCCUGGUGAAGGCCAUCUUCCAUGCCUGCAGAGCCAUGCAUGCCUCACUCCCUGGGAAAGCAGAUGGGCAGCAGAGUUCCUUCUGCCAUUGCGAGAGGGCCAGUGGCCACCUAUGGAGCAGCCUCAACGUCAGUGGGGCCACCUCUGACCCUGCCCUCAACCACGUGGUCCAGCUGCUCACCUGUGACCUGCUACUGUCGCUACGGACAGCGCUCUGGCAAAAACAGGCCAGUGCCAGCCAGGCUGUGGGGGAGACCUACCACGCGUCAGGCCCUGAACUGGCGGGCUUCCAACGGGACCUGGGCAGCCUGCGCAGGCUGGCACACAGCUUCCGCCCAGCGUACCGCAAGGUGUUCCUGCAUGAAGCCACCGUGCGCCUGAUGGCAGGAGCCAGCCCCACCCGCACCCACCAGCUGCUGGAACACAGCCUGCGGCGGCGCACCACGCAGAGCACCAAGCACGGAGAGGUGGAUGCCUGGCCCGGCCAGCGAGAGCGGGCCACCGCCAUCCUGCUGGCCUGCCGCCACCUGCCCCUCUCCUUCCUCUCCUCCCCGGGCCAGCGGGCAGUGCUGCUGGCCGAAGCUGCCCGCACCCUGGAGAAGGUGGGCGACCGGCGCUCCUGCAACGACUGCCAGCAGAUGAUUGUUAAGCUGGGUGGUGGCACUGCCAUUGCCGCCUCCUGACCACCAGGCUCAGCCCACCCCUCCACCUCUCUCUCGAUUUCUCUCUCUCCCCCUCAGCAUCUUCCCGCUGAGAGUGGUGGGGAGGAGCCUUGUCUUCUUAGCUGUCACCUGCCGAGGCUUCUGGGCCACUCAGGCCAGUGCACCCCUGGGCAGAGCCCCUUAAAGCUGCUGUCACUAGAUGCCCAGGUCCAGGGCCUGGUGGGCGUGAGAGGAAAGGUGGCAGGGCAGAAACUGGGCAGCCCUGACUUGAUAGCAGCAGGGGGAGCUCCCAAGCUGCCAAGCCCCUGCCUCCAGCCUUCCUGAGUUUCUCUCUCCUGAACCCUACUCUCUCCUUUUUGCUUCCUCAGUUUUUAUCAGGCUUUCUCUGGGGGACAGCAGUCUCUGAGCACCAGGGAGCAGUUGCCCUCAGGCCUGUGCCCAGCAUGCCCUCCCCUUUUUAUACGAAUGUUUUCUACUAGUGUGCUUGGGUUUGCCAUGAUGCGAGGCUGAGUUGCUGUAGUGUCUUGAUUCUCUCCCUGGGUCUGCGUUCCCUCCCCUGGGCCUGACUGAGCCUGCUCAUUGUUUUUCCCUUUAUUACACAGGACAGCCAGGGGAGGAGGGGGGCCCAGCCCUGGGAGGCUGGUGGGAGGCAGGGGGCAGGCCUGCAGAUGCAUGAAAUAAUGUUGGCAUUAUUUUUUAAUUUUUUAAAAAAUAAAUGGUAUCUUUUUAAUUGUCCUGUUCCUUCCCACUCCCCGCCUCCUAGGAUGUUAGCCCAAGCUCAGGGUAGGCCCAGGGGGCUGGGAAAAAUGAAGCCACCCAUUGGGACUGGGGACCAGGGGCCUUCAGCAUGGCUUCUAGGUUCCCUCCUCCCCCUACCCCAUCUCCUACCUCCACAGUACAGACUGUCCCCAACUUAACAGUGGUUCAACUUAAACCAUGUUUCAACUUUACAAUUGGUCUGUUGGGGUAUUAAAUGAAUUUGUGACUUAGGAUAUUUUCAUUUAUGAUGGGUUUAUCAGGAAGUAACCCCAUGGUAAGUUGAGGCAUAUCUGUAUAUAUUUAAACCUAAUUAAUUCUUGAGCUGAAAAUAAACCAGGAUGGCAGGGACCAACCCCUAAUCCCUCCCCAGCGGCAAGCCCCUCUUUUCAGAGUGGGCAGAGGGUUGCCUGUGGUGGGCACUAGGAAUGAGGUCCCCUGCCUCGAUGCAGGUCCUAGGAGAAAAAGUCCUACUUUUCUGGGUCCCCAGGUGCAGCACCUCCCAGAGACUGUUUCUCCCAUGGCCUCCUGAGUGAUGGGCCCUGCCUCCCUGUGCCUCAUCCUCAGGCUGGUUGGAGCAGAGGGUGGGCAGGAGCCCCAGCACAGACUGGGGGGUGCUCACAGCAGGGCCACCUUGAUGCAGGCUGGAAUGUUAUCCCUGGGGUGUGCUUGGACCCCACCUGCUUUCUUUCUCUCCUGCCCCUCCCCUACUCUCACUGUAAUUUAUGGACCCUGCCCGCCUGCGUGUUGUAUGUCCUGUGCCUUUUCUCACUAUUGUUUGGGUGUGGGAGGGGGUGGUUUUUCACUGAAAAGGGGGAUACACCUAUAGCUUUCUUGAUGUUCAAUCAGUCACUGUGUCCCAGACAUAGGUUAUUCAAUAAACACAGAUUGGUACCACCCAG